AUGGAACACGUUGAGAAUCCUGUUGAGGGUGACAAUGGAACUCCUGUGAGGAGUAAGAGACAGAGGACUGCAAAGUCCUUUGGUGAUGAUUUCAUUGUGUACCUCGUGGAUGACACACCCAGGACUAUUUCAGAAGCCUAUGCAUCUCUUGAUGCUGACUACUGGAAGGAAGCCGUACGUAGCGAGAUGGAUUCCAUCUUAGCUAACGGAACCUGGGAGAUCACUAACCGUCCUUAUGGGUGCAAACCUGUAGGAUGUAAGUGGGUGUUCAAGAAGAAGCUUAGACCUGAUGGUACGAUUGAAAAGUACAAGGCACGGCUUGUGGCUAAGGGUUAUACCUAG
rnacentral:rRNA from 1 species